AAUAAAGGGCUAAUAUGUUAUCAUGUUUAUACCUAAUUCCAUAUUGGUUUCUUUGUAUCGACAGUUGUUUUGCCUUGUGUAGCUGCUUUUGCGACUUGUGUUGCAUGCAGUGGCAGACCUAUUAAGGAGAAAGGAAGUACAGCUGCACCUCCCUCUUUGAAAAAUCACCUAAAGAGGUCGGAGUUUGCCCCUUUUGUGGUGCUCACCCUAAACCCUAAACCAUCCCUUCCUCUCACCUCAUGUCAUCAUGAGCAAUAGUACUCGUUCAUAUAAUUUUGAGGAGGAUUAUUAUUGCAAGUUUUGGUUUAAAUUUGUGCUUAAUUUUGUGUUCAUGAAUUAUAUUUAAAAAUCACUAUGAACUAUCAGUCGAUUGUUACAUUGCAUGAUUUUGAUGUCCGUUUAUAAAUAGGUUAGAUAUAUCAACUAUGACAUAAUGUGCCUAAAGCAUUGGUAGUAAAACUCAACCGGGACAGUUAAGUUAUAUACAAGGCCACUGAUGAUGCAUCUGACUUAUAUUCAGGCAUCGACCGACACGCUUAGAGCAUUACAUGCUGCUUCCCCUCAUUCUGAGGGUGAACAGUAACAGUUGCACAGGCCUCAGCUCCCACAUCAGAAACAGAUAUAGAGCUUACCAUUGGCCAUUCUGCUGAUUCUGCUAAUUUUUCAAUUCAUGUGUCACUAUUUUGUGAGUCCACAUGAACUCAUUAAUUGUCACUUCAUCGUUUAACAAAACAUUUGACGGUGACAAAUGUAUGAUUAUGGAUUAGUAAGAAAAUUAAAUUUUAGGUACGAAAAAAAGUUGAAGUAGUAAGAAUUAAAUUUUAGAAAACUUUCAGAUAGUAAAGUGAAAUUCACGCUACAUAAAUUCUUUAUUUAUUUUGACAUAACCUUUCAUUUUGGAGAAAUUUUGUGUCCAGAUUUCAAACGGCUCCAUGUUGGUCUUCACUACGAUGCAGAGGCAUUCUUUGUUUGUCUCUUAUAAGAGUGUAACCCUUUUCCAAAAUAAUUUACAUUAGCUACAUUGUUUUAUAUUAAAAUAUUAAGAUAUUUCUUAGCUUCUUCUUCUUCUUUGACUUUGAAAGCAUCAUCAACCAAUCAACUUCCCACAAAAUACCCAAUGCCACGUGUACUAUAUUGACGCGUCCCUCUGGUUUUGGUGGCUGCCAGCCCAGUACGAAAUAUUCAUAAGAGAAAGACUAGUCUAGCCAGAAAACCAAAAUAUUUGUAUAAGCUCUCCACCUAUCUUUUUUCAUUUCCCCAAACGAAAAAAAGGUUUAUUAAAGAGAAUGGAAAGGUUUACAUCACUGACAAAAAUAUCUAAAAUCCGCUCAGGCUAGGCCACACUUGUACCAAACAUGCUUCUCAAGUCAAAAAUCCACUAAGACCACACUUGGUUCUAAACAUGACGCUUGUUCCAAACAUGCUUCUCAAAAAUCCACAACAUGCUUCUCAAAAAUCCACUCAGGCCACACUUGGUUCUAAACAUGGUUACCUCCUACUUUUGACACAAAGGCCGCAACCUGGUGCGCUGCCUUAUUACACUGGCGGGGAGUAUCUUUGAAAACAUGCAACUGUCCAGCAAGCAUCUGGAUAUCAAAAACAAUCUAAUUAAGCUCUCCUCCUAUCUUCGUCUCCUACAGUAUCAAUCUUUAGCAUAUAUUAUAUAGAUUGCUCAUCAUGAGUCACGACCAGCACCAUCAUCAUCAGGCUCCAGGUAAAUUACCAGUUAAUGUCUGUUUAUGUGAUUUAAUUGUCUAAUUAAUCCCAUUUAAUAUGUUACUUAGAUUAAUAAACUAAGAUACGAGGUUGAAUAUUGCAAUAUGCAAACACAACUAUCAAAGUCUCAAACAUUAGAGGGGUUUUCACUUCUGAUCUACAUACAAAUUAAACCUUGCUUUGUACUUAUUUGGUGUCCCCAACAAAAUGACAUGCUUUAAAUUGUUACAAAUUAAGUGUUUAUGAACAUAUUUUAUAUAUAUAUAUAUAUAUAUAUAUAUAUCAACGUUUGUGUUCAACUUUGUUCAUGAUCAAAUAUCAACGUUUGUGUUUACCAAAUUGCAGAGGUAUAUCCACCACCACCACCUUCCGGUGCAGUUCACGAAUACAAUCAAGGUGGUCCAUAUGUUGUUGCACCACCAGUUGCUUACCCCAUGAAACAUGAUGGUCCUGAAAACCCCCAACAACCACCUCCCUACCCCGAGCAACAACAGCAACCUGCAGAGUCUCAUCAUCGUAGGGGUGAUGGAUUUUGCACAAGAUGGUAAUUGAACAUUCUCAAGCCCCUUAAAUUACAUUUUUCUCAAGUAAAUUAAGGGGCUAAUAUGUUAUCAUGUUUAUACUUAUUCCAUAUUGGUUUCUUUGUAUCAACAGUUGUUUUGCCAUGUUGAGCUGUUUUUGCGACUUGUGCUGUAUGCCGCUGGGUCCCGAAGCUUACCUUUCCUAUCACACACGGUAGUCAACUUCACAAUCUCCUCCUAGCAACUAGCCUUUUCUGCUGUAAAUUGGAUUUCCUGCUGUAAAUCGGAUCGUAUUCAUAUAUAUAUAUUAUUUCCUACCUUAAGUAGAUAUCUUGUAUUAGUAUAAAUAGGGACUUUGUGUAAUCUGUUUAAUACAAAGAAAUAUAUUUUGGGAGCUUCACUAAUAUACCCAAAAUAUGGACUGAAAUUAUAAAAAAACCCUACAUAGAAUGCACUUUAGAAACACACCCAAAACUCAUUUACUACAUAGAAAUUGGUGUUUAAGUUUCUAUAAAUUACAUGAUUGCCAUUGAUCAAUUUAAAAAAGAAGUCCAACACAAAAAAUUUAAAUAGCACCCAAAACAAACCCAGCCCAAUUUUAUAAAAAAACCCAAACAAUUCAUUACAAACAAAACGUCUUGAAAACCAUAGCUUCAUUAAUGUGCCAUGUUGAUUAAUGACUGUAAUAUUCCACACCUUUACUGUCAUGUUGAUUAAUGGUUGCAAUGUUCCAGUCUAGGGUAAUAACACUGCUAUUUUCCUAUGACAUCCUAUUUCUAAUGCAUGUUUACCCCUGUAAUGUUCCAGUCUAGGGUAAUAACACUUCUAGUUUCCUAUGACAUUCUAUUUCUAAUGCAUGUAUACCUUUGUAAUGUUCCAGUGUAGGGUAAUAACAUUGCUAGUUUACUGUCAUGUUGAUUAAUGGUUGUAAUAUUCCAGUCUAUGGUAAUAACACUGCUAGUUUCAUAUGAAAUCCUAUUUCUAAUGCAUGUCUACCCCCUGUAAUGUUCUAGUCUAGGGUAAUAACACUGCUAGUUUCAUAUGACAUCUUAUUUCUAAUGCAUGUCUACCCCUGUAAUGUUCCAGUCUAGGGUAAUAACACUGCUAGUUUCAUAUGACAUUCUAUUUCUAAUACAUGUCUACCCCCGUAAUGUUCUAGUCUAGGGUAAUAACACUGCUAGUUUACUAUCAUGUUGAUUAAUGCUUGUCAGGUUGCUAUUUCUAAUACAUGUCCAACAAAGAAACUAUGAAGAAAGAACAAACCAGACCAACUCAAAACAAGUUGAGCCCAAAUUGUUAAUACUAUUAUGUCAUAGAAGUACGUAGUUAAUACUACUCUGUAAUAGAAGUACAUUGUUAAUACUUUGUCAUAGAAGUACAUUGUUAAACAAAAAUAAGAUCCAUAACUGAAAUAGUAAUAAAAGAUAAAUCGAUAAUCAAAUCUUAAAAUACAUUUCGAAAAUCAACUAAAAUCCGAAGAGAAACACAUAAUUGAAGCAAAAGAUCAAAAAUCUCAAGUCCAAACCAAACAACGACGAUGACAAUGAUGACGACAACGAUGACGACGACGUGGUGAAGAGGAGUAGAGCUUGAAGAUGAGGAGUAGAGCUAAGAGCAUUUGAUCAAGGUUCGUUCGAGUUCUUGAACAAUCCGAAGAAAAAAAAAUCAAUAGAAGCACAAUUUUAGAACAAGAAAUCGAAGGUGAAAUAUUGAAAAUUGUAGAUUAAAUAUGAAGAAUAUAGUUGGGCCUGAGAUUGAGCUUGGAAGCUCCUCUUGCUCCAACACCAGAGAAAGCUCUUUUGUCACGGGUCUGCUGUUCCAUUUUUUUUCGUUGAAAUGCUUGAAACCACGGAGAGUAAUAUGCAAAAAUCAUUUCAAUCAUAGUGGCACAUGGCAUCCAUAUUACUGGCAGCAACACCAAAGUCCCACCGGAUUUCUCAUGCUUACCUACACAAAGAGACCUUGCAUGAAUCAGGCUCAUCGCAAAUAUGAGAAUUCAAUUCAAGAAGCUGCCACAUGCGCUUGCAGUGAGCACAUCCACCAGGAACCCAGGUUUUACAGCUGGAGAAAUGACGAACUAAGGUCUCAAGCCCCUUGCAAGCAGGAAAAUCACAAGCAACCUGGCUUCCUCUGAACACCUUGUUACGGGGCAGAUCUGAUUUGGUUUUUUUGGCAUAUUUAGUUUUUUGGUAGAUCUAUGCAGAUCUGGGCAGAUCUGAUUUUUCUCUCUCAAAUCCAUAAUAUAUACAAGGGCAAUAUAGGUAUUUAACACACACAAAUAAACUAAAAAACAGCUAUUAAAUUGAAACAAUUGAAAGCUGUCAAUUUUUGGGUUUUUUUUGGGUGAGUUUAUAGUUUUUAAAUAGUAUAGGGUUUCUUUAUAAGACUAUGUCUAAGAUUGGGUAUAUAACUAAAUUUCUAAUAUAUUUUCUACAUAGUAUCAGCAUAAACUUGGGUUUCCACCCUCUCCCUUAUUCGAUCCAAUCCUCUCUUUUAGGUCCACCUCAUGGCUUCAUCUGAAUCCACCUUCCUAGCCCCAACUCUUCUCAUUUUAUCAAGCUUACUGACUCCAUCUCCAACUAUCUCCUUUGGCUCCGCCAACUCAAACACUUUUUAGUCGGUCAUGACCUUUGGAAAUUUAUUGAUGGCACUCAUAAACAACCUUUUUCCCAAACCUCCACUUCUACCACUGCAACACCCACAACCACCACUGCCACUCUUACCCAAACCAAUCCCGCCCAUGCUCAGUGGUACCAACAAGACCAACUCAUUGUUAGCUACAUUACCAGUACACUCUCUGAGUCCAUUCUCUCUCUCACCGUCGGCUGCACCUCUGCCUAGGAUCUAUGGGAGUGUCUCCAACGCCACUUUUCCCAAUCCAAUAUGACAAGUGAAUCUGCUCUUCGUUUUCAACUCAUGAAUAUGAAAAAGGCUCUCAACCCAUUGAUGCUUACCUUCGUCAUGCUAAGUCCCUUGCCAAUUCACUAGCUGCCAUCAAUGAACUUAUCUCUAAAAAUCACCUGGAAAGGUCGGAAUAGUACUCUCACCUCGUGUCAUCAUGAGCAAUAGUACUCGUUCAUAAUCAUGUUAGCAUAUAAUUUUGAGGAGGAUUAUUAUUGCAAGUUUUGGUUUAAAUUUGUGCUUAAUUUUGUGUUCAUUUUGCCAAGAAUUAUAUUUCAAAAUCACUAUGAACUAACUAACUAUCGAUUGUUACAUUGCAUGAUUUUGAUGUCC
rnacentral:lncRNA from 1 species